rnacentral:rRNA from 1 species
UACGUAGGGCGCAAGCGUUUAUCCGGAAUUAUUGGGCGUAAAGAGCUCGUAGGCGGUUUGUCGCGUCUGCCGUGAAAGUCCGGGGCUCAACUCCGGAUCUGCGGUGGGUACGGGCAGACUAGAGUGAUGUAGGGGGAGACUGGAAUUCCUGGGUGUAGCGGUGAAAUGCGCAGAUAUCAGGAGGAACACCGAUGGCGAAGGCAGGUCUCUGGGCAUUAACUGACGCUGAGGAGCGAAAGCAUGGGGAGCGAACAGG